CGAUGAGUAGGGCGGGACACGUGGUAUCCUGUCUGAAUAUGGGGGGACCAUCCUCCAAGGCUAAAUACUCCUGACUGACCGAUAGUGAACCAGUACCGUGAGGGAAAGGCGAAAAGAACCCCGGCGAGGGGAGUGAAAAAGAACCUGAAACCGUGUACGUACAAGCAGUGGGAGCACGCUUAGGCGUGUGACUGCGUACCUUUUGUAUAAUGGGUCAGCGACUUAUAUUCUGUAGCAAGGUUAACCGAAUAGGGGAGCCGAAGGGAAACCGAGUCUUAACUGGGCGUUAAGUUGCAGGGUAUAGACCCGAAACCCGGUGAUCUAGCCAUGGGCAGGUUGAAGGUUGGGUAACACUAACUGGAGGACCGAACCGACUAAUGUUGAAAAAUUAGCGGAUGACUUGUGGCUGGGGGUGAAAGGCCAAUCAAACCGGGAGAUAGCUGGUUCUCCCCGAAAGCUAUUUAGGUAGCGCCUCGUGAAUUCAUCUCCGGGGGUAGAGCACUGUUUCGGCAAGGGGGUCAUCCCGACUUACCAACCCGAUGCAAACUGCGAAUACCGGAGAAUGUUAUCACGGGAGACACACGGCGGGUGCUAACGUCCGUCGUGAAGAGGGAAACAACCCAGACCGCCAGCUAAGGUCCCAAAGUCAUGGUUAAGUGGGAAACGAUGUGGGAAGGCCCAGACAGCCAGGAUGUUGGCUUAGAAGCAGCCAUCAUUUAAAGAAAGCGUAAUAGCUCACUGGUCGAGUCGGCCUGCGCGGAAGAUGUAACGGGGCUAAACCAUGCACCGAAGCUGCGGCAGCGACACUAUGUGUUGUUGGGUAGGGGAGCGUUCUGUAAGCCUGUGAAGGUGUACUGUGAGGUAUGCUGGAGGUAUCAGAAGUGCGAAUGCUGACAUAAGUAACGAUAAAGCGGGUGAAAAGCCCGCUCGCCGGAAGACCAAGGGUUCCUGUCCAACGUUAAUCGGGGCAGGGUGAGUCGACCCCUAAGGCGAGGCCGAAAGGCGUAGUCGAUGGGAAACAGGUUAAUAUUCCUGUACUUGGUGUUACUGCGAAGGGGGGACGGAGAAGGCUAUGUUGGCCGGGCGACGGUUGUCCCGGUUUAAGCGUGUAGGCUGGUUUUCCAGGCAAAUCCGGAAAAUCAAGGCUGAGGCGUGAUGACGAGGCACUACGGUGCUGAAGCAACAAAUGCCCUGCUUCCAGGAAAAGCCUCUAAGCAUCAGGUAACAUCAAAUCGUACCCCAAACCGACACAGGUGGUCAGGUAGAGAAUACCAAGGCGCUUGAGAGAACUCGGGUGAAGGAACUAGGCAAAAUGGUGCCGUAACUUCGGGAGAAGG
rnacentral:rRNA from 1 species